rnacentral:rRNA from 1 species
GACGAACGCUGGCGGCGUGCUUAACACAUGCAAGUCGAACGGAGUGGCGAACGGGUGAGUAACACGUGGGUGAUCUGCCCGAUAGAGGGGGAUAACUACUGGAAACGGUGGCUAAUACCGCAUACUGUCGGAUGAACCCAUAUGGGAUUAGCUAGUAGGUAAGGUAAUGGCUUACCUAGGCGACGAUCCCUAGCUGGUCUGAGAGGAUGAUCAGCCACACUGGGACUGAGACACGGCCCAGACUCCUACGGGAGGCAGCAGUUGGGAAUAUUGCACAAUGGGCGGAAGCCUGAUGCAGCGACGCCGCGUGGGGGAUGAAGGCCUUCGGGUUGUAAACUCCUUUCGACAGGGACGCGGUACCUGUAUAAGAAGCACCGGCUAACUACGUGCCAGCAGCCGCGGUAAUUC